GAUCGAGCGGUGGCGCGAGCGGCGUCCGUUGGUGUUGGCCGCAAACACGAGAUGUGGGUCGGCCAAUCGCUGGGCCAGCCGGCCUGAUGGGGUGAUGCGACGUCAACAUGGGUACAGUCCGUCGCCUUGGUUACCGGCGGCGGCUUGCUUUCCAAAUUUCGCCGUAGGUGUUUCUGCCCAAUGCUGCGUCAGAUCAUUCCAAUCCUUGCUGACCUCCAUUGGCUCACAAUCUGGGUCCUCAGUUUGAAAAUGUGUAUCCUUGUUUUUAAGUGAAGGACAGGAGGAUGAAACAGUAGAACUGGUAAUGGCAAGAGACACUUCAAAACAUUCUAGAGUGGCAUUGAAUGAUGAACAGGUUAUUGGGCCAGUCACUGUGAGGAACCUGCAUUAAGAUAAGCAGCUGAUUCUGAAGUAACAUGGGCCCAGAACUCAGAAUAGCCAUGCCCGUGUCCGUGGCCCCCUCCCAACUCCAUGCUCUUGCUCCACUUUGGAUGGUCUUGGGCCAGUGAUUCCCAGGUCGCUGUGGAAAUGCUGCAUUUCGCCAGUGAGAGUAUCACUUCCUCCACCUGCGGCUGGCCUGCCAUUUUGAAGCUGUACCCUCAGCUAGACCACAGUACAGUACCAAUGACUACUGUUUUUAUUUGAACAUCCUGGUUGGAUUACAAUCCAUUUGUAUUUUAAAGGAAGUGAAGGCAUAAGAUUCUCUACUGUUUUAUCUCACUGAGGUCUGUAAUCUACAUUUAACCCUUAGUUACUCAGACUCCUUACUUACCUACCAUCAUAGUACAUGAUGACUGGGCAAUGUAGUCAUGCUCAACAACAUCCACAAAUUGAUCUCAUCUUGAUCACAGAAUGCCUACAGUGUGGAAGCAGGCCAUUUGGCCCAUGAAAUCCAUUCUGACCCUCCAUCAAAACAUCCCAUCCAGACCCAAUACUGUUGUAAGGAGAAAGCUUGUCAAAAUGCUUGACACCAUCUAAGACAAUGCAACCCACUUGAUUGGCACCUCAUCCAACUAUCUUCAACAUUAUAUUCCCUUACUGCUGAUGCACUGUAACCACAGUUUAAAAUUCAUUCACAGCACUUAGCUAACCAGCAUUUAUUGCCCAGCCUUAAUUACCCUUGAAGGUGGUGAUGGUGAAUUGCCUCCUUGAAUUGCUGCAGUCCCUUUGGUACAGAAUCCCUAAAAUGUGCAAGUAGGCCAUUUGGCCUGUCAAGUCCACAAAACCUCUGAAGAGCAUCUGACUCCUCAUUUACCCCCGUAACACUGGAUUUUCCAUGGCCCACCUAGCCAACACAUCUCUGGACAGGGCCAAUUGAUCUAACCUGCACAUCUUUGAACUGUGGCGGCAAACCUGGAGAAAAUUCGUGCAGACAUGGGGAGAAUGUGCAAACUCCACAUAGACUCCACAACUGACUGGAAUUGAACAUUGGUCCCUGGCGCUGUGGGGCAAAAGUGCUAAUGAAAAAGCCAUGAUGAUGAUUAAUAUUAUUUCUGCUCAUAUUCACAUUCUUUCAACCAAAACAGAUUCUCCAGUGGUUGCAUCCAGCAUAGAGUUGCUUACUUCAAGCAUGGAUACUCUGGGGUAUGGUAUAUUGGCAAAACUAUGCAGACACUAUGACAACAGAUGAAUGGACACUAUACAACAAUGGGGGAAACACUUCAGCGGUAAACAUCCUCCAAAGGUGGGACUUCGAGAUACACAACAAUGCAGAGUCACUGAGCAGAGACUAAUAUCCAAGUUUGGUACCCGUGAGGAUGACCUCAACCAUGAUCUUGGGUACAUGUCACACUACAGAUGACAGCACCACACUGUACACACAUACACACACUCACACAAACCCUCUCUCUCAAGCACAUACUCCCUCACACUCACUCAUUCACUGUCAUGUGCGUGUGCGUCUCACACACACACACACAGAUACAGAUACAAAUCUAUGGGAUGAAUUUGCAUUUGCAGAUGCAUUCUACUUUGUUCGAAAUAUGCACAAUUUGCAGGCAGUCAAUGGGGCAUUUUAUAAAUUCCCACUUUGGAAAUAAAACCAGUCUGACUCCAGAUUAAAACAGACAGAUUCUAAACAAGGUCUCACACCUGAAAUGUAUUGUCUGACUCGAGGUGUUACCUCUUGUAUACACUGAUAAAACCUUUAGAUAUCUCGGGGCGGUGACUUGAAAGAAAUUCUGGGACUUACAUUUUAAUCAAUCAAAACCUGCAUUUCCUCUCUAACUGAUUAAAGAUUUAACAAGAGGGAGUCAGCCAGCCAUUUUAGAUUUAUUCAAUAUAUUCGCAUCAGUUGCAUGAUGCUUUGAUCUUUUACUUAUAAAUUCUGUGUCUUGAUACCUCCUCUCUAUCUACGCCUGAGCGAGGAGCAAUGCUUCAAAAGCUAGUGUUUUCAAAUAAACUGUUGGACUAUAA